UACGUAGGGUCCAAGCGUUAUCCGGAAUUACUGGGCGUAAAGAGUUGCGUAGGUGGCUUGUUAAGCGAAUAGUGAAAUGAUACGGCUCAACCGUAUGUCCAUUAUUUGAACUGGUAAGCUAGAGAAUGAGAGAGGUUAUUGGAAUUCCCUGUGUAGGAGUGAAAUCCGUAGAUAUAGGGAGGAACACCGAUGGCGUAGGCAGAUAACUGGCUCAUUUCUGACACUAAGGCACGAAAGCGUGGGGAGCAAACGGG
rnacentral:rRNA from 1 species